UCCCCACCUGUGUGUGAUCUCCCUGUGUUUCUCUGUCGUUGUAGUUGCUGGUCUGUCUGUCCACCCACCACGUUUCAUUUGUGUGUUUCCUGCCGUCAUCGUCAUGUACCAUCGUCUUCCUUCCUUUAUGUCCAGAUGUUGAGUUUGUGAGCGCCUCUCAACUUAACGUCUGCAAUAAUCCCUGAAGAAGCUGUUUGGAGCAUCACUGGAUGUUCUGCCGUGCAGAGAAAUAAAAGUGCAAACCUUUGAGCUGCAGGUGAAGCAGCUAUUCGACUCUCAUCAUGGCAAAGCUUCUCUGAGUGGACUGUAGUUCCCGUUUACAGCCAAAAGGGGGCACUGCUGCACCUCACAGACCACAAUGUGAUUCGUCUUGAUGCAUCUCAAUCAUCCAGGUGGUUCUUUCCUCCGGCAAUCAGUUCCAAAGAAGAAGGACGGCCAAUCCUAGUGUGAGGACCAGAAUCGGCUGACCAGUCCUCGAGACCUGAGAGAGGUCACAGAGGUCACACAGAGGUCACACAUAUUUAUAUUUGAAGUUUGUGACACAGACACAUUUUUAAAAUAUUUAUUCUUUUAUUAUUUGUUGUA